rnacentral:rRNA from 1 species
GACGAACGCUGGCGGCGCGCUUAACACAUGCAAGUCGAACGGAAAGGCCUGCUUUCCCUUGUGGAUUGCGGGUACUCGCGUGGCGAACGGGUGAGUAACACGUGAGUGAUCUGCCCCCAACUUGGGUAUAAGCCUGGGAAACUGGGUCUAAUUCCCGAUAGGACUGCAGGGUGGUGCCUGUGGUGGAAAACGAUUUUCUAGUGGUUGGGGAUGAGCUCGCGGCCUAUCAGCUUGUUGGUGGGGUAAUGGCCUACCAAGGCGGCGACGGGUAGCCGGCCUGAGAGGGUGGACGGGCACAUUGGGACGGAGAUACGGCCCAGACUCCUACGGGAGGCAGCAGUGGGGAAUAAUGCACAAUGGGCGGAAGCCUGAUGCAGCGACGCCGCGUGGGGGAUGACGGCCUUCGGGUUGUAAACUCCUUUCGACCGCGAGGAAGCCACCUGGUUGGAAGGGUGGUGACGGUAGUGGUAGAAGAAGCACCGGCUAACUACGUG